rnacentral:rRNA from 1 species
ACGGGGUGCAGCAGGCGCGAAACCUCCACAAUGCGCGAAAGCGUGAUGGGGUUAUCCCGAGUGCCGUCCGAUGAGGAUGGCUUUUUAUCGAUGUAAGGAUUCGAUAGAAUAAAGGGGGGGCAAGACUGGUGUCAGCCGCCGCGGUAAUACCAGCCCCCUGAGUGGUAAGGACGAUUAUUUGGCCUAAAGCGUUCGUAGCCGGCUUAUCAAGUCUUUUGUUAAAUCCAACGAUUCAAUCGUUGGGCCGCAAAAGAUACUGUUAUGCUAGAGGACGGGAGAGGUCGACGGUAGUCCAGGGGUAGGGGUGAAAUCCUAUAAUCCUUGGAGGACCACCAGUGGCGAAGGCGGUCGACUAGAACGUGCCUGACGGUGAGGGACGAAAGCUGGGGGAGCGAACCGGAUUAGAUACCCGGGUAGUCCCAGCUGUAAACGAUGCGGGCUAGGUGUUGGGGCAGCCACGAGCUGCUCCAGUGCCGCAGAGAAGUUGUUAAGCCCGCCGCCUGGGAGUACGCCGACAAGGC